rnacentral:rRNA from 1 species
UACGUAGGGUCCGAGCGUUGUCCGGAAUUGAUUGGGCGUAAAGGGCUCGUAGGCGGUUCGUCACGUCGGGAGUGAAAACUCGGAGCUUAACUCCGAGCCUGCUUCCGAUACGGGCAGACUAGAGGUAGGCAGGGGAGAGCGGAACUCCUGGUGUAGCGGUGGAAUGCGCAGAUAUCAGGAAGAACACCGGUGGCGAAGGCGGCUCUCUGGGCCACUACUGACGCUGAGGAGCGAAAGCGUGGGGAGCGAACAGG